rnacentral:tRNA from 1 species
GGAUGGGUGGCCGAGUGGACGAAGGCGGCAGUCUUGAAAACUGCUGUACGGGUGACCGUACCGGGGGUUCGAAUCCCUCCCCAUCCG